UGGGGGGCUGGUGGAGUCCAGUCACGUUAUUUAGGAUCACAGUUCAUGAGACGUUCAAAGACUGAAGAUCUUCUGCACCUUUUCAAAGGAUUGUGUGUCUGCUGGACAUAAAGAAUCUCCUUUCCAUCUGUGUGGAUGGGCCAAAUGUGAACAUGAAAUUCCUCCAUCAUUUCCAUCCAGACCAUGCUGAACUACAUGGAGGUCAGCAGUUAAACAAUGUUGGGAGCUGUGGAUUGCACGUGGAAACAUUCUGAAAUGUCACAGUGUUCAGGAGGUUCCCCGUUAAUCUGAAGAUGUUGGACCACAAGAUGAAGAGAUGUGAAGUAUUUGUGUUACACUUGUACAAUGAUGACAGUGUCCAUCCAGGAGACAGUGACUUUAAUUACACAUGAAGAUUCUGCAAAUACAGAAGAGAUACAGAUCCAGUUUCUGAUUAGUAUUGGCUCUCUUUGCUGCUGUCUUCACUCCUCGUGUUAUGACUGGGUUUACUUCCUUGUACACCAAGAUAACAGCACCAGUCUUUGACAUGACAAAGCCAAUACUGCCUCCUACUGACCAAAAUGGGUAUCGCCCUACAGUUACUGAGGAAGAAGCAGGGACCAACAUCCAUCGCUGAGGUACCGACAUCAGACUGACAGGGUUUGUGAUUUAAAAACACGCGUGUGCUCGUUCACUGCAGAACAUGACUUGUAGUUCACCAGAUCUCAGCCACUCGUUAAUCUGUGUAAAAAACAGUGUGAAGAUCAAAAUGCUUUGUCAGAAGUGUCCGUGUCAAAUCAGCAGAUUGGUUCCAUAAGUACACAUGGCAUAGCAGCAGCAUUUAAGAAAAGUCUUUGUGAAAAGCUCAAUAAAUGUGUUUUCAUUGGAUAUUGAUGAAGCCACGAGCCAGAGCUGGACAACAGUCUGAAUGUGCUUGUUGGUUUUUUGAUGAUGAUGCUUCCAGAGUAACUCAACAUCUGCAAACACAAAAGUGAACAUUGCCUCAACACUAACGGAAGAAGUAAAAGAUGUCAGAAAGAAAGAAGAAAUAGAUCGCUGACCAGUUCUUGUAGCACCAUCAAUGUUUUUAAUUGAACUGUAGUUUUCUGUAGUAAUUUAUAUUUGUUUAUUUAUUUUAUAUUUUCUUAUUUAUUUCAGAUUAUUUAAGU